UACGGGGGGGGGCAAGCGUUGUUCGGAAUUACUGGGCGUAAAGGGCUCGUAGGCGGCCAACUAAGUCGGACGUGAAAUCCCUCGGCUUAACCGGGGAACUGCAUCCGAUACUGGAGGGCUUGAGUUUGGGAGAGGGAUGCGGAAUUCCAGGUGUAGCGGUGAAAUGCGUAGAUAUCUGGAGGAACACCGGUGGCGAAGGCGGCAUCCUGGACCAACACUGACGCUGAGGAGCGAAAGCCAGGGGAGCAAACGGG
rnacentral:rRNA from 1 species